rnacentral:rRNA from 1 species
GACGUAGGACGCGAGCGUUAUCCGGAGUUACUGGGCGUAAAGCGCGGGCAGGCGGCUCUGCAAGUCUGAUGUGAAAGCGCACGGCUCAACCGAGCGAGGCCAUUGGAGACUACAGAGCUGGAGGGCAGUAGAGGCAGGCGGAAUUCCGGGUGGAGUGGUGAAAUGCGUAGAGAUCCGGAGGAACACCAGAGGCGAAGGCGGCCUGCUGGGCUGCACCUGACGCCGAGCCGCGAAAGCCAGGGGAGCGAACGGG